GUGGGUUGCUUUGAGAUCUGAAAGCAAUCGAUUCCUCGUUUCUUCUUCCGCUGCCGGUUUUUUCUUACCCCUGCAAAAAGGGUAACAUUUUUUCCGGUGACUGGUGAGGUGAUGGCGGCGGCGAGGGAGGAGAAUGUUUUUAUCUGGAGAAGUUGGCGGAACAGGCGGAGAGAUACGAGGAGAUGGUGGAUUACAUAGAGAAGGUCUUCGGUGCGGCGGCGGCGGAGGGGGAGGAGCUCACGGUGUAGGAUCGCAACCUCCUCUCUGUCGCUUACAAGAACGUCAGCGGCGUCCGACAUGAUUCCUGGAGGAUCGUCUCCUCCGAGGCUACUGGACCUGAGCGCAAGGACGCUGCUGAGAACACCUUCUCAGCCUACAAGGACGCCCAGGAAGAUGGCGUAGAUAACAUCAGAGAAACAAGCAAACUUGACGCUGGGGAUGAACACUUAUUUUUAAAUGGAAUCGCUAAUAUGGCCAUCAUCCUCUGUAUUACACUUUAAAAUCAUUUAGAGCUUCAAAAAUUAUCCAGUCCACAAAACAACAGACGGUACAGUGGAAGCUGAGACAUUUGAGGGACCAAAACUAGUGCUUCCUG